GACGAACGCUGGCGGCGUGCUUAACACAUGCAAGUCGAACGAGCGGCGGACGGGUGAGUAAUGUAUGGGGACUGCCCGAUAGAGGGGGAUAACUACUGGAAACGGUGGCUAAUACCGCAUACUAUCGGAUAACCCAUAUGGGAUUAGCUAGUAGGUGGGGGAAAGGCUCACCUAGGCGACGAUCCCUAGCUGGUCUGAGAGGAGGAGCAGCCACACUGGGACUGAGACACGGCCCAGACUCCUACGGAGGCAGCAGUGGGGAAUAUUGCACAAUGGGCGCAAGCCUGAUGCAGCCAUGCCGCGUGUAUGAAGAAGGCCUUAGGGUUGUAAAGUACUUUCAGCGGGGAGGCGUUACCCGCAGAAGAAGCACCGGCUAACUCCGUACCAGCCGCCGCGGUAAUUC
rnacentral:rRNA from 1 species